GACAGAGGGGGCAAGCGUUCCUCGGAAUUACUGGGCGUAAAGGGCGCGUAGGCGGGAUGGCAAGUCGGUCGUGAAAUCCUUCGGCUCAACCGAAGAACGUCGAUCGAUACUGCUGUUCUUGAGGGUUGCAGAGGAGACUGGAAUUCCCGGUGUAGCGGUGAAAUGUGUAGAGAUCGGGAGGAACACCGGUGGCGAAGGCGGGUCUCUGGGCAAUUCCUGACGCUGAGGCGCGAAAGCGUGGGGAGCAAACGGG
rnacentral:rRNA from 1 species